UACGUAGGGCGCAAGCGUUGUCCGGAAUCAUUGGGCGUAAAGAGCUCGUAGGUGGUCUGUUACGUCUGCUGUGAAAUCCUAGGGCUUAACCCUGGGCCUGCAGUGGAUACGGGGCAGACUAGAGGUAGGUAGGGGAGAAUGGAAUUCCCGGUGUAGCGGUGAAAUGCGCAGAUAUCGGGAGGAACACCGGUGGCGAAGGCGGCGACCUGGUCCUUGACUGACGCUGAGGCGCGAAAGCGUGGGGAGCAAACAGG
rnacentral:rRNA from 1 species